CCUUUUAACUUUUAUGGAUGACCUAUAUAAUAGUGAUAACUACAAUUAAACAAAGUAGCAUCCACUUCUCAGGUUUAUACUGCCCCUGAUUCUGCCUGGUAUAAAAUGCCUAAGUCUACAAGGUGAGCUUUGUGGUUGGACAUGCUUUUACAUUGGUGUGGCUGCUGUUGCUUUUGGAUGCUCUUAUUAUCACCUCAAACCAAAUGAUGGUCACCUUGUUUGGGAUCGUUUGCCUAUGCAAAUGAGGAAUCUUCACGAUCACAUGCCAUUCUUCGUUCAUAAAUCUUGCAGGAAAUGAAAGAGGUGCAGAUACAACUGAUAAUGAUAAGAAAACAAGGCUUGGCCUGUGCGUACUCCAAGGCCUGUUGCUUUCAAGCUUGUUGCUGAUACCCCUCUUC